GAUGAACGCUGGCGGCGUGCCUAAUACAUGCAAGUCGAGCGAACAGACGAGGAGCUUGCUCCUCUGACGUUAGCGGCGGACGGGUGAGUAACACGUGGAUAACCUACCUAUAAGACUGGGAUAACUUCGGGAGACCGGAGCUAAUACCGGAUAAUAUAUUGAACCGCAUGGUUCAAUAGUGAAAGACGGUUUUGCUGUCACUUAUAGAUGGAUCCGCGCCGCAUUAGCUAGUUGGUAAGGUAACGGCGUACCAAGGCGACGAUGCGUAGCCGACCUGAGAGGGUGAUCGGCCACACUGGAACGGAGAAACGGUCCAGACUCCUACGGGAGGCAGCAGUAGGGAAUCUUCAGCAAUGGGCGAAAGCCUGACGGAGCAACGCCGCGUGAGUGAUGAAGGUCUUCGGAUCGUAAAACUCUGUUAUUAGGGAAGAACAAAUGUGUAAGUAACUAUGCACGUCUUGACGGUACCUAAUCAGAAAGCCACGGCUAACUACGUG
rnacentral:rRNA from 1 species